AGUCGACUUCUAGUCGACUUCUAAAAAUGACGGAAAGUCGACUAUAAAAAGACGGGAAACAGUCAAGCGGCGCGUCAUGCAUCAUCAAUAUGGCGGCGAAUCUCGAGGAGGCUGGAGGAGAAAAUUAGUGUUUACGCGAGUGCAAGGAAUACUUGCCGCGAGACAGGACACGAUAAGACGUCGAAAAGCGCCGCGCUAUCAACCACCGCCACGAAACGUCGUCGUCGUCGUCGUCAUCAUUGUCUUCCCGUUGACUUAUUCUCGAUUAGAUCAGAAUACUGGAAUUUGACUAAUGCGGUUACCAACCGACAUGGCGGAUCUAAAAGAGGAUCAGGAUAAGGCCAAAUGAAAACAUGCUUUAGAGGUUAGGUAUGAACACCAUCAGAAAUGGAGGAACCUGUGUUCAUGCAUUCUUCGUGCGUUCUACGGAAAAUCAGUCCGGAAUAGGUGGUUUAUAAAAAGGUGUACGAAACGAAUAAGAUGUAUAUGCGAGGGGUCACGGCGAUAGAACCCGAAUGAUUGCCGAAAUUCGCUUCCACGCUAUGCCAUCUUUGUGAACCAUUGGUUGAUCCACCGCCAAGAUAUAAUCAAGGAACCGGCAAGAUCACUUGCCGCGUGUCUGGUACAUUUGGAAAGGCCGGAUGGGCACUACCAUCGAUGGAUAUAGAGCAUCUGUGGACGGUGUAAAAUGGUUCGCGUAUUUCUUCUUGGAGGGUCAAGUGUACCCUAAGCUGAAACGAUUUGUUCCGUCGCUGCUGACGACACCUGGGAGCAUCACCAAGUCAUAGGCCAGGUUAAUACCACGCACUCGAGCAAUAGUACAAACGCUGCGGUCGCAGGGAGUCGUGUCCAAAUACAAACUGCUAGAAAUCUGGGGUUUGGAUGAAAAAUUUCUGUUGUCAGCUUACAAGAAGUGGCUGCCGGAAUCCGCGCACGUAGAAGUGGCACAGAUAUGACGGCACACAGUGGCCGCCUUUGUAAUUAAGAAUAAAACAUUAGGAUUGUAAUUAUACAGUUUUUUAGAUAAUUAAAUUAUUUUAUAUAUGAAAAAAAAUCGAAAUGCAUCAGUUUUAGCCUUCCAGCAAAGGGUCGAUUGUGUAUCUUGAAAUAAUGAGGUAAAAAUUACAAAAGUGAGAAAAUUCAUUAGCGUAUCUACGAUUUUAUUUAUCAAAAUCUAAUAAAAUCUGUUAACUUUUGUCAUUUUCACCUCAUUUCACGAUACACAACCGACCUCCAGACGUACGCAGCGGUUUAUUUUAUCGACUUUAAAAGUUGGC